rnacentral:rRNA from 1 species
UACAGAGGGUGCGAGCGUUAAUCGGAAUUACUGGGCGUAAAGCGCGCGUAGGCGGUUUAUUAAGUCGGAUGUGAAAGCCCUGGGCUCAACCUGGGAACUGCAUUCGAAACUGAUUGACUAGAGUAUGGUAGAGGGUGGUGGAAUUCCUAGUGUAGCGGUGAAAUGCGUAGAUAUUAGGAGGAACAUCAGUGGCGAAGGCGACCACCUGGACCAAUACUGACGCUGAGGUGCGAAAGCGUGGGGAGCAAACAGG